CUGGCACGUAGUUAGCCGUCACACCAUGAGAGCCGGGGGACCCGAAGUCGGUAGUCUAACCGCAAGGAGGACGCCGCCGAAGGUAAAACUGGUGAUUGGGGUGAAGUCGUAGCAAGGUAGCCGUAGGAGAACCUGCGGCUGGAUCACCUCCUUU
rnacentral:ncRNA from 1 species